rnacentral:rRNA from 1 species
CUUUCCCUCUGUCGGCAGGCCUAACACAUGCAAGUCGAACGGUAACAGGGAUCAGCUUGCUGAUUCGCUGACGAGUGGCGGACGGGUGAGUAAUGUCUGGGAAACUGCCUGAUGGAGGGGGAUAACUACUGGAAACGGUAGUUAAUACCGCAUAACGUCGCAAGACCAAAGAGGGGGACCUGCGGGCCUCUUGCCAUCGGAUGUGCCCAGAUGGGAUUAGCUAGUAGGUGGGGUAACGGCUCACCUAGGCGACGAUCCCUAGCUGGUCUGAGAGGAUGACCCGCCACACUGGAACUGAGACACGGUCCAGACUCCUACGGGAGGCAGCAGUAGGGAAUAUUGCACAAUGGGCGCAAGCCUGAUGCAGCCAUGCCGCGUGUAUGAAGAAGGCCUUCGGGUUUUAAAAUUCUUUCAGCGGGGAGGAAGGGAGUAAAGUUAAUACCUUUGCGCAUUGACGUUACCCGCAGAAGAAGCACCGGCUAACUCCGUG